rnacentral:rRNA from 1 species
GACGAACGCUGGCGGCGUGCUUAACACAUGCAAGUCGAGCGGUAAGGCCCUUUCGGGGGUACACGAGCGGCGAACGGGUGAGUAACACGUGGGUGACCUGCCCUCAGCUCUGGGAUAAGCCCGGGAAACUGGGUCUAAUACUGGAUAUGACUCCAUGACGCAUGUUGUGGGGUGGAAAGCCUUGUGCGGCUGGGGAUGGGCCCGCGGCCUAUCAGCUUGUUGGUGGGGGAUGGCCUACCAAGGCGACGACGGGUAGCCGGCCUGAGAGGGCGACCGGCCACACUGGGACUGAGACACGGCCCAGACUCCUACGGGAGGCAGCAGUGGGGAAUCUUGCGCAAUGGGCGGAAGCCUGACGCAGCGACGCCGCGUGAGGGAUGACGGCCUGGUGUAA